UACAGAGGUCUCAAGCGUUGUUCGGAUUCAUUGGGCGUAAAGGGUGUGUAGGCGGCGCCGUAAGUCGGGUGUGAAAUUUUGGAGCUUAACUCCGAAACUGCAUUCGAUACUGCGGUGCUUGAGGACUGGAGAGGAGACUGGAAUUCAUGGUGUAGCAGUGAAAUGCGUAGAGAUCAUGAGGAAGACCAGUGGCGAAGGCGGGUCUCUGGACAGUUACUGACACUGAGGCACGAAGGCCAGGGGAGCAAACGGG
rnacentral:rRNA from 1 species